rnacentral:rRNA from 1 species
GACGAACGCUGGCGGCGUGCUUAACACAUGCAAGUCGAACGGGCCCGCUCUCUUUUUUGGGGGUGGGUUGAGUGGCGAACGGGUGAGUAUCACGUGAGUAACCUGCCCCCUGCUCCUGGAUAACUGCUUGAAAGGGCGGCUAAUACGGGGUGUGCCGGCUGGUCCGCAUGGGCCUGGUCGGGAUAGUUUCAUCUUCGGGUGUUUCGGUGGGGGAUGGGCUCGCGGCCUGUCAGCUUGUUGGUGGGGUGAUGGCCCACCAAGGCGGUGACGGGUAGCCGGGCUGAGGGGGUGGGCGGCCACACUGGGACUGGGACACGGCCCAGACUCCUGCGGGAGGCGGCAGUGGGGGGUAUUGCACGAUGGGCGGAAGCCUGAUGCAGCGACGGCGCGUGAGGGAUGGAGGCCGUCGGGUUGUGAACCUCUUUCUCCGGAGGUGAAGGCCCUGUCCGUUGCGGCGGGGUUGACGGUAGCCGGGUAUGAAGCGCCGGCUAACUACGUG